UUUCCGUAGGUGAACCUGCGGAAGGAUCAUUACAGAGUUCAUGCCCUCACGGGUAGAUCUCCCACCCUUGAAUAUUUAUACCUUAGUUGCUUCGGCAGGCCGUGGAAACACCAUGGGCUCCGGCUUAUGCGCGCCUGCCAGAGGAAACAAACUCUGUUUUUAGUGAUGUCUGAGUACUAUAUAAUAGUUAAAACUUUCAACAACGGAUCUCUUGGUUCUG
rnacentral:misc_RNA from 1 species